rnacentral:tRNA from 1 species
GUGUAUAUAGCUUUAAGCUAAAUUAUUUUGCAACAGUAAUGAUAGAAUUAACUUUCUUAUACAUU